rnacentral:rRNA from 1 species
GACGUAGGAGGCGAGCGUUGUCCGGAUUCAUUGGGCGUAAAGAGCUCGUAGGCGGUUUGUCGCGUCUGCUGUGAAAACUCGGGGCUUAACCCCGGGCCUGCAGUGGGUACGGGCAGACUAGAGUGCGGUAGGGGAGACUGGAAUUCCUGGUGUAGCGGUGAAAUGCGCAGAUAUCAGGAGGAACACCGGUGGCGAAGGCGGGUCUCUGGGCCGUAACUGACGCUGAGGAGCGAAAGCGUGGGGAGCGAACAGG